rnacentral:tRNA from 1 species
GGAGAGGUGGGUGAGUGGCUGAAACCAGCAGUUUGCUAAACUGUCGUACUCGCGAGGGUACCGGGGGUUCGAAUCCCCCUCUCUCCG